CCUACGGGUGGCAGCAGUCGAGAAUCAUUCACAAUGGGGGAAACCCUGAUGGUGCGACGCCGCGUGGGGGAAUGAAGGUCUUCGGAUUGUAAACCCCUGUCAUGUGGGAGCAAAUUAAAAAGAUCGUACCACAAGAGGAAGAGACGGCUAACUCUGUGCCAGCAGCCGCGGUAAUACAGAGGUCUCAAGCGUUGUUCGGAAUCACUGGGCGUAAAGCGUGCGUAGGCUGUUUCGUAAGUCGUGUGUGAAAGGCGCGGGCUCAACCCGCGGACGGCACAUGAUACUGCGAGACUAGAGUAAGGGAGGGGGAACCGGAAUGCUCGGUGUAGCAGUGAAAUGCGUAGAUAUCGAGAGGAACACUCGUGGCGAAGGCGGGUUCCUGGACAUUAACUGACGCUGAGGCACGAAGGCCAGGGGAGCGAAAGGGAUUAGAUACCCCUGUAGUC
rnacentral:rRNA from 1 species